rnacentral:lncRNA from 1 species
UCUCUUUGUCAUAUAGUCGAAGUCCGGCCCACCCUUUCCUUGUUUAGAUACUUCUACACCUUCAAGCGUCAUCCCACGACAAUGGACUGGUGGUACUUCUCCCCAUAGUUCGGUAGAAAGGGGUUGCUGAAAGGUGCCCCCUCUUCUAUCCAUAACUGGAAGGAGAAGUUUCUUUAUGUUCGAUGCCCGACCUUGAGGCUAGGGUUGCCCCCUUGGGGCUCCCCGAGGGACUCC